rnacentral:tRNA from 1 species
GGGCGUGUGGCGUAGUUGGCAGCGCGUCUGCUUUGCAAGCAGAAGGUCAUCAGUUCGACUCUGGUCUCGUCCA